UUGAACGCUGGGCAGGCCUAACACAUGCAAGUCGAGCGGAUGAAGGGAGCUUGCUCCUGGAUUCAGCGGCGGACGGGUGAGUAAUGCCUAGGAAUCUGCCUGGUAGUGGGGGAUAACGUCCGGAAACGGGCGCUAAUACCGCAUACGUCCUGAGGGAGAAAGUGGGGGAUCUUCGGACCUCACGCUAUCAGAUGAGCCUAGGUCGGAUUAGCUAGUUGGUGGGGUAAAGGCCUACCAAGGCGACGAUCCGUAACUGGUCUGAGAGGAUGAUCAGUCACACUGGAACUGAGACACGGUCCAGACUCCUACGGGAGGCAGCAGUGGGGAAUAUUGGACAAUGGGCGAAAGCCUGAUCCAGCCAUGCCGCGUGUGUGAAGAAGGUCUUCGGAUUGUAAAGCACUUUAAGUUGGGAGGAAGGGCAGUAAGUUAAUACCUUGCUGUUUUGACGUUACCAACAGAAUAAGCACCGGCUAACUUCGUG
rnacentral:rRNA from 1 species